rnacentral:rRNA from 1 species
AUGAACGCUAGCGGCAGGCUUAAUACAUGCAAGUUGAACGGCAGCGGGUUGUAGCAAUACAAUGCCGGCGAGUGGCGCACGGGUGCGUAACACGUAUGCAACCUACCCUAUACUGGGGCAUAACCUUUAGAAAUGAGGGCUAAUACUCCAUGUAAUUAUGAGAAGGCAUCUUUUUAUAAUUAAAGAUUUAUCGGUAUAGGAUGGGCAUGCGUCCCAUUAGUUAGUUGGUAAGGUAACGGCUUACCAAGACAAUGAUGGGUAGGGG